ACUCAAAUGAAUUGACGGGGGCCCGCACAAGCGGUGGAGCAUGUGGUUCAAUUCGACGCAACGCGAAGAACCUUACCUGGGUUUGAACUGCAGGCGACUGCCCCGGAAACGGGGCUUCCCUUCGGGGCGCCUGUAGAGGUGCUGCAUGGCUGUCGUCAGCUCGUGUCGUGAGAUGUUGGGUUAAGUCCCGCAACGAGCGCAACCCUUGUCCCUAGUUGCCAACGGGUCAAGCCGGGAACUCUAGGGAGACUGCCCCGGAAAACGGGGAGGAAGGUGGGGAUGACGUCAAGUCAUCAUGGCCUUUAUGUCCAGGGCUACACACGUGCUACAAUGGACGGUACAAAGGGUUGCAAAGCCGCGAGGUGGAGCCAAUCCCAAAAAGCCGUUCUCAGUUCGGAUUGCAGUCUGCAACUCGACUGCAUGAAGUUGGAAUCGCUAGUAAUCCCGGAUCAGCAUGCCGGGGUGAAUACGUUCCCGGGCCUUGCACACACCGCCCGU
rnacentral:rRNA from 1 species